AGUUUGAUCAUGGCUCAGGAUGAACGCUAGCGGGAGGCUUAACACAUGCAAGUCGAGGGGCAGCACGAUGUAGCAAUACGUUGGUGGCGACCGGCGCACGGGUGAGUAACGCGUAUGUAACCUGCCCUUUACCGGAGGAUAACCCGGAGAAAUUCGGACUAAUAUUCCAUAAAGAUACUUAGAGGCAUCUUUGAGUAUUUAAAGCUACGGUGGUAAAGGAGGGGCAUGCGUAACAUUAGCUAGUUGGGAGGGUAACGUCCUGCCAAGGCAAUGAUGUUUAGGGGACCUGAGAGGGUGAUCCCCCACACUGGUACUGAGACACGGACCAGACUCCUACGGGAGGCAGCAGUGAGGAAUAUUGGUCAAUGGGCGACAGCCUGAACCAGCCAUCCCGCGUGAAGGAAGAAAGCGCUAUGCGUUGUAAACUUCUUUUCCAGAGGGAUAAAAUGAUGUACGCGUACAUUACUGAAGGUACUCUGGGAAUAAGCAUCGGCUAACUCCGUGCCAGCAGCCGCGGUAAUACGGAGGAUGCGAGCGUUAUCCGGAUUUAUUGGGUUUAAAGGGUGCGUAGGCGGGACAAUAAGUCAGUGGUGAAAACCUGCAGCUUAACUGUAGACUUGCCGUUGAUACUGUUGUUCUUGAGUAUGGUCAAGGCAGGCGGAAUGUGUAAUGUAGCGGUGAAAUGCUUAGAUAUUACACAGAACACCGAUAGCGAAGGCAGCUUGCUGGGCCGUUACUGACGCUGAUGCACGAAAGCGUGGGGAUCGAACAGGAUUAGAUACCCUGGUAGUCCACGCCGUANACGAUGAUCACUAGCUGUUGGCGAUAUACCGUCAGUGGCAAAGCANAAGCAUUAAGUGAUCCACCUGGGGANUACGGCCGCAAGGCUGAAACUCAAAGGAAUUGACGGGGGCCCGCACAAGCGGAGGAACAUGUGGUUUAAUUCNAUGAUACNCGAGGAACCUUACCUGGGCUUAAAUGUANANUGCAUUGAGGGGAAACUUUCAUUUUNUUC
rnacentral:rRNA from 1 species